UCUUCACCCCGCUCCUCCCUUGCUCGGUCGUUCGGCUGGCCCGGCUCACCUUCGGGGUGACGGCUAGCAGCGAGCAUUAUAGCAGACGACUUUAAUAAAUGCAGGCGGCAGGAGGAACUCUGGGAACUUGGGUGCCCUUGACUGGCAGUAGGGGUUGAAUUAUCCAGAUCUGAAAUACUUUUCAGAGCCGAGGGGUGAUACGCUCUGCAAAAGCACUUUUUGCACCUCUCCCUUACGCUAAUACUCGCUGACUGUGCGCACAAGUCAUAUUCAGUAUUAAAUACAAACCGAUCUGUAAUUCAAUGGCUCUAGCAAGACGCCUCUGAGAGGGCCAGGUGGCGGGUGCAAGUUGCUCAUUAACCCUUCAGAGUCGCGGUUUGCAGAUCUGAGUUAAAUCCCUGGUUUAAGGUCGUUCAGUUGCCCUCCUCCCCCUCUCCCCCCGCCACUUCGAGAAAAAUGUGCAAAGAGAAGGAAAUUUGCACAUCAAACGAGGGGCAAUCGCGGCAGUAGAUGAACUUGAUUAGGCAGACGCUUGAGAUCAAAGUGGCCGGGGCCAAAGCGGACAGGGUCCAACGUACCGGCACUGCCAAGAGAAGGCUUUUUCUUUUGCUCAGGUUAAAUAAGAACAUCCUGCAAGGAGUCUGUUCUUUUAUGCAGCCUGAAGAUCAAGUAAUAAUCAUUGACAUCGAUACUAAGCAUGUCGAUUUUGAAGAGACCGGCAUGAACCUUGAAGAAUCAUGUUCUUCCUAGGAAUUACAAAUCCUCCGAUUCCAUGUCUAACAUAAUUUCUACUGGCCUCUUUGCUUCUCUUGCUUUAGUACCAGUUCUUCUGAAUUUGAAGGUCUUCAUGCAAAUUGCCCAGCUGACAGGGCAGACACUGUUGAGGAAAUGCUGAUCACAACAUCACAGGGAAAGGAGAAUGUAACGAAGCAAGAACUGGCUCUUAAAGCUUCUGCUUGCAGUGACAAGGCUCACUUUUCAAUGGCCAAAGCAAGUCAAAAACCCCAGCCUGACUUACAUGGCACAGAAAAGUCCCCCAGGGAGGGAAAUCAGACAUUGAUGAACUGUGGCCAAAAUCCAGCUGAGCCAGAACCUCAGGUCACCAAUAUCAUUUCUCCUCAGAGGACUAAGAGUCCUCCUGCAAAUUAACUCCUAGUAUCCUGUCCUGAUGUACCGGAUACUAGAGGUCUGUUGAAAACUUGCCUCAUAAAUGAUUUGCAUAUACAAGAACUCGGAGAAAGCAUCCUGUUUUGUUGAGAGGUGCACCAAGUGACUUUUUCAUCAUUGGUAUCAUAACGAGGUGUGGUUAGCAGUCAUUUCCUUUUUUCUUUUGGGUUGGACCAUUGUCAAUGGAGUCUAUAAAAUGAGACAUGUUAGAACUUGACUGCACUAAUUUAUUUUUACAGAAUCUGCACAGCUUAGCAAAACAGGAAUACCUGUAUACAGACUGAUAGAAUGUCAUAUAUUAAUUUGACCUGCACAUACAUUUAUACAUUUCACAGAAAUGACGCUGUAUCUCAUUAACAGAUACACAGCUCUGGUACAUUUAACAGAAAUAAGAGAACAACUUCAUCAUUUCUGUAAUUCAUCAAUAUUAUAUAAUAAAGGCUUAUAAAUUGUUAGCAGAAAGAACUGUAAAACGCAGCAAGCUAAGAAAGGACAACAUUUUGAGGUGUGUUUGUCUUUGUCAUGCAGCAUAACACCAAAUUUGUUUUUUCAAUAGGAUGCCAUGAAUUUAAGGCACUUGCAACAAUGCCAGAUAGCCAGGUCAUGUUCUAAACUAUGGGACAGAUGAAUAACAGUACAGUUGACAUAAUUUUCAAUAAUACUGACAAUUAUGACAUUAAUUCAAGUCUACUUGGACCUAAAAACAUUAUUCAAUACAAAUAAAAUGAAAUAAUAAUGCUGUGAAACACUAAAAAAAGUUAUAUGUACCACAAAAUAUCACACAAAAAUAUCUAUUUACAUAAAUAUUUGUCUGUGGUCCUAUUGUGAAAGGAAAAGUUGUUAUGGAUAAUGCACAGAUCACCUCUAUUGUAUGAAAUCAGUUCUAAUAUCUUUAUUUCCAAUAUGGUAGCUGAUUUCAUUAAAUUUGUUUACCAUCAGUUCAGUAAUUUAUAAAUGAAACAGGAAAAAUUCAAUAGUUGAGUUUAUUACUACACAUGUGUAAUUCACAUGCAUAUUCCACAACUUUAGGUAAAAAUUAUGACUUGUAAAGAAUAUAAUCAGAAUAAAUUUAUUUUGAAUGCCAUAUGGAUCUGAUUCAUAUAUUAAUAAGAAAGAAGAUAUAAACAUAAAAAUCAUGUAUAGCAUUUUUCCAGAAAUUAUUUUUUCAAAUGUAUUCAAUCCAUCUCAGUUAUUUUAAUGUUGUUUCCCUUGGCAGUUUCAGUUUUCCUGUGAGUCAAAACACACAGAAAGCCCUUAUUUCCCAUACUCAACACAUUAACAAGAAAAUCAUAAAACAAAUCAAACAAGUUGGCACUAUUCUAACUUAUGUAGAUGUUCUUUAGUGUAAGAAAAUAGAGGGGUUGUGAAAAAUUCAGAAAUAAAGUGAGAUGCACUUUAUGGAACUGACCAUGAAUUUUAGCCCUAGAGUCUUCAUUAAGACAAGAUUUAAAUCCUAGAAAUUCAGUGUUGAAAAUUAGAUGAAUGUUUUCUGUUGGUACAUCUCGGAAGAUGUAGUUUACCUUUAUUUUGUGAUGAUUGCUUCAGACAUCAAAUGCAAUGCUAUGGG